rnacentral:rRNA from 1 species
CAAUAGCGUAUAUCAAAAUUGUUGCGGUUAAAAAGCUCGUAGUUGGAUUUUUGCUGAGGACGACCGGUCCGCCCUCUGGGUGAGUAUCUGGCUUGGCCUUGGCAUCUUCUUGGAGAACGUAGCUGCACUUGACUGUGUGGUGCGGUAUCCAGGACUUUUACUUUGAGGAAAUUAGAAUGUUUCAAGCAGGCACACGCCUUGAAUACAUGAGCAUGGAAUCAUGAGAUAGGACAUUGGUUCUAUUUUGUUGGUUUCUAAAGCUGAGGUAAUGAUUAAUAGGGAUAGUUGGGGGCAUUCGUAUUUAAUUGUCAGAGGUGAAAUUCUUGGAUUUGUUAAAGACGGACUAUUGCGAAAGCAUUUGCCAAGGAUGUUUUCAUUGAUCAAGAACGAAAGUUAGGGGAUCGAAGAUGAUCAGAUACCGU